rnacentral:rRNA from 1 species
AUUGAACGCUGGCGGCGUGCCUAACACAUGCAAGUCGAUCGGUAACAGGUGUAGCAAUACAUGCUGACGAGAGGCGGACGGGUGAGUAACGCUUGGGAAUCUGCCUAUUAGUGGGGGACAACCCGGGGGAAACUCGGGCUAAUACCGCAUACGCUCUACGGAGGAAAGCCGGGGACCGCAAGGCCUGGCGCUAAUAGAUGAGCCCAAGUCGGAUUAGCUAGUUGGUAGGGUAAUGGCCUACCAAGGCGACGAUCCGUAGCUGGUCUGAGAGGACGACCAGCCACACUGGGACUGAGACACGGCCCAGACUCCUACGGGAGGCAGCAGUGGGGAAUAUUGGACAAUGGGGGAAACCCUGAUCCAGCGACGCCGCGUGGGUGAAGAAGG